CACGACUUGUUUUUCAAUGUGGAUCUGGUCAGUGUGGGUGUGUGUGUGUGUGUUGGAUGCUGGCAACUGGCUACGACAGAUUGAUAUUUUAUAUCUCUGCAUAUUCUAUGAUUGUACACUCGAGUUUUCAUGAGCUAAGUUCGACUGUAAACAUCCAAAUUGUACUGUAUGCUGCAAACUUAUUAAGAUGUUACUCUUAUUAAUGUGUGAUAAAUCAUACAUUUUAAUAAAAAUCUUAAAAAACUUUCGCCAAUCAUCAAGGGACAACGAAACUCUGUAAAGUCGGCUCGUAAGUACCAGAUCUGCCAGUUGUAAAUACGUAUCGUGGAAGUGUUUACAGUUUUCAUUUUCCAAUACUUGAAAAAUACAAGCGACGAAAUCAAAAGUGUGUAAAUAAACUGCUGAUGGUGUACUAGCAUAGCGCACAAUAUCAGAUAUUAGAAGACUACAAGACGUUUGUACUUUAUCAGCACUUGUGCUGGGUGGCCUUUUCGUUAACUAAAAAGAUU